rnacentral:rRNA from 1 species
AUUGAACGCUGGCGGCAGGCUUAACACAUGCAAGUCGAGCGGAGACUUCGGUCUUAGCGGCGAACGGGUGAGUAAUACCUAGGAAUCUGCCUAUUAGUGGGGGAUAACGAAUCGAAAGGUUCGCUAAUACCGCAUACGUCCUACGGGAGAAAGGGGGGAGUCUUCGGACCUCUCGCUAAUAGAUGAGCCUAGGCCGGAUUAGCUAGUUGGUAGGGUAAAGGGCCUACCAAGGCGACGAUCUGUAGCUGGUCUGAGAGGAUGGCCAGCCACACUGGAACUGAGACACGGUCCAGACUCCUACGGGAGGCAGCAGUGGGGAAUAUUGGACAAUGGGGGCGAACCCUGAUCCAGCCAUGCCGCGUGUGUGAAGAAGGCCUCGGUUGUAAGUA